UACGAAGGGUGCUAGCGUUGUUCGGAAUCACUGGGCGUAAAGCGCACGUAGGCGGAUUGCUAAGUCAGGGGUGAAAUCCUGGAGCUCAACUCCAGAACUGCCUUUGAUACUGGCGAUCUUGAGUCCGGGAGAGGUGAGUGGAACUGCGAGUGUAGAGGUGAAAUUCGUAGAUAUUCGCAAGAACACCAGUGGCGAAGGCGGCUCACUGGCCCGGUACUGACGCUGAGGUGCGAAAGCGUGGGGAGCAAACAGG
rnacentral:rRNA from 1 species